rnacentral:rRNA from 1 species
GAUGAACGCUGGCGGCGUGCCUAACACAUGCAAGUCGAGCGGACAGGCGAGACUCUUGCUUGGUUGUUGUUAGGGGCGGAGGGGAGAGAAACGUGAGUAUACUGUACCUGUAUGUGGGGUAUAUUUAGGAGAAAGCGGCUCUAAUAGGGUAGAAGCUCUUGAAGCGCGUGGUGGGAUGGUAAGAGUCGGUGGUGCGGGAUGUAAUAGCGGUUUCUGAGCUGGUUGAUCAGGUAGUGGCUUACACGGGAUACGAUGGAUAGCCGACAUGAGAGGGUGAUCGGCCACACUGGAACUGAGACACGGUCCAGACUCCUACGGGAGGCAGCAGUCGGGAAUCGUCCGAAAUGGGCGAAAGCCUGACGGAGCAACGCCGCGUGAGUGAUGAAGGUCUUCGGAUCGUAAAACUCUGUUAUUAGGGAAGAACAUAUGUGUAAGUAACUGUGCACAUCUUGACGGUACCUAAUCAGAAAGCCACGGCUAACUACGUG